UGUUUCGUUUCUACAUUUUCUUCAUUCUGGUGUUCUUUUUCAUUUUCAUUUUCAUUUUGGUGUUCCCAUCACGUGGAUGUCUACGACAUCUGACGAGCUCCACCUGCCCGGGUUUGUUGUUUGGAGUUUGCUCUCCUAGGCAGACUGCCUACCACGGCUAACGAGCUCCACCUGCCCGGGUUUGUUGUUCGGAGUUUGCUCUCCUAGGUGAACUGCCUACCACGGCUAACGAGCUCCACCUGCCCGGGUUUAUUGUUCGGAGUUUGCUCUCCUAGGCAGACUGCCUACCACGGCUAACGAGCUCCACCUGCCCGGGUUUGUUGUUCGGAGUUUGCUCUCCUAGGUGAAUUGCCUACCACGGCUAACGAGCUCCACCUGCCCGGG